rfam:Oryzias latipes DNA, scaffold819, strain: Hd-rR.
GUUUCUGUAGUGUAGUGGUUAUCACGUUCGCUUAACACGCGAAAGGUCCCCAGCUCUAAACUGGGCAGAAACA